UGGAUCAUGUUGUUUAAUUUCGAUGAUACGCGAAGAACCUUACCAGGCCUUGACAUGCAGAGAACUUUCCAGAGAUGGAUUGGUGCCUUCGGGAACUCUGACACAGGUGCUGCAUGGCUGUCGUCAGCUCGUGUCGUGAGGUGUUGGGUUAAGUCCGUAACGAGCGCAACCCUUGUCCUUAGUUACCAGCACGUUAUGGUGGGCACUCUAAGGAGACUGCCGGUGACAAACCGGAGGAAGGUGGGGAUGACGUCAAGUCAUCAUGGCCCUUACGGCCUGGGCUACACACGUGCUACAAUGGUCGGUACAAAGGGUUGCCAAGCCGCGAGGUGGAGCUAAUCCCAUAAAACCGAUCGUAGUCCGGAUCGCAGUCUGCAACUCGACUGCGUGAAGUCGGAAUCGCUAGUAAUCGUGAAUCAGAAUGUCACGGUGAAUACGUUCCCGGGCCUU
rnacentral:rRNA from 1 species